CGACUGGGGUGAAGUCGUAACAAGGUAACCGUAGGGGAACCUGCGGCUGGAUCACCUCCUUUCUAAGGAUGAUCCUUCAGAUCAGCUCACGCUAUCUACCGGAUCGUUUUAGAAACAUUCAGGGGCCAACAGUUUCAGGAUUGUUGAGCUCCAUUGGCGGGAUUUCGCCGUCUUCGUUUCUCUUUCUUCGCGGACGAACACGCGCCAGGGGCUGAGCGCUGUGCGAUGCACCGACUUCAGGUCGAGUGCGCGCCGGCAUGUCUCUCGUGUUAGGGGCUUGUAGCUCAGUUGGUUAGAGCGCGCGCUUGAUAAGCGUGAGGUCGGAAGUUCAAGUCUUCCCAGGCCCACCAUUUUGAUCGAGUGCGGAGCAUUCGUCUUCUGGUACGGGGCCAUAGCUCAGCUGGGAGAGCGCGUGCUUUGCAAGCAUGAGGUCGUCGGUUCGAUCCCGUCUGGCUCCACCAGAUGGAAUUGAAGCUCGAUAAUGCCUCGUUCAUAUCGUCCGCGAAACAUCACUUCGCACUCAUUGGUCCGGAUGGACGGUGACGUGCGUGUUUUCUGACAUCGUAAAGAGGAGAUCGAUCCGAGUUUGGAUCAAGCGAAGCAAUUCGCCUGAGCCAUUCAUUAUCUCCGGGAUCAUUUCGGCGCUCGCUUUCAAUCGCAAGAUUGGAUGCGGGUUGUAAAUGAUCCCUUUUAGCGAAGCUUGACCGCCUCGCUAUCGGGCCGAUCUUACGAAGCAAGCUGGUCUUUCUAGUCAAUGUCCGGCUGCGCAAUCGCAUUCAUCGAGGAUGCGUGCCUUCAAUGGCAGUUGUGCAGAUAACAUUCUGCCGAGUGUGUGGACAUUGAUAAUGAGAGCAAUCAAGUGCCUUAAGGGUGUUCGGUG
rnacentral:misc_RNA from 1 species